rnacentral:lncRNA from 1 species
GUGAGGCUGAUAGGUAGGCUGAUUGUGAGGCUGAUAGGUAGGCUGAUUGUGAGGCUGAUAGGUAGGCUGAUUGUGGGGCUGAUAGGUAGGCUGAUUGUGAGGCUGAUAGGUAGGCUGAUUGUGGGGCUGAUAUGUAGGCUGAUUGUGGGGCUGAUAGGUAGGCUGAUUGUGAGGCUGAUAGGUAGACUGAUUGUGAGGCUAAUAGGUAGGCUGAUUGUGGGGCUGAUAGGUAGGCUGAUUGUGGGGCUGAUAGGUAGGCUGAUAAUGAGG